rnacentral:lncRNA from 1 species
AAAAGCCAUACAGUAGAAGAGAACUGACUUGUGCACACACACACAAACCUCCACGUAAUCUGCUCUACAUAGUUCAGGCUAACCAGAACCGCAGAGUUAGACCCUGCCUCAAGAAAGGAAAAAUAAAAUUGGUGCAUGCCGCUGGAGAGAUGGCUCAGUGGUUAAGAGCACUGACUGCUCUUCCAGAGGUCCUGAGUUCAAAUCCCAGCAACCACAUGGUGGCUUGCAACCAUCUAUAAAUAAAAUAAAUAAAUCUUAAAAAAAAAAAAUUGGUGCAUGCCUUUAAUUCCUGCAGUUGGGGAGAAUGGAGGCAGGUAAGUUCAAGGAUGGCCUGAUAUAUAUAGUUUCAGGCUAGCCAGAGCUACAUAGUGAAGCUAAGGAAGGUAGGGUUAUUGCCUAUUGAAGAAAGUGAUCUAAAUGCAUACUAGAAAUAAAAUUUCAUAUACACAAUUUUUAAA